AAGGAUUCCUUGCUCCCACUUUUGUGUGGGAGUAUGAUUAACCUACAGUAAAAUAAUUACAAAAUUUUCAGAUUCAACGAAGAAGAGAGGUCUGCUAGGGUAACGCCAUUUUCUCAUCUUCUUCUCUCUGGUUCGCCUACCCUCGCCGCCACAACACGCAUCGUCCGCCGCCCCUCCCUGCGUCCGCCGCCAAGAGAGGUCUGCUAGGGUAACGCCAUUUUCUCAUCUUCUUCUCUCUUCUCUCUGGUUCGCCUACCCUCGCCGCCACAACACGCAUCGUCCGCCGCCCCUCCCUGCGUCCGCCGCCAAGAGAGGUCUGCUAGGGUAACGCCAUUUUCUCAUCUUCUUCUCUCUGGUUCGCCUACCCUCGCCGCCACAACACGCAUCGUCCGCCGCCGCUCCCUGCGUCCGCCGCCACUCCCUGCGUCCGCCGCCAAGAGAGGUCUGCUAGCGUGACGCCAUUUUAUCAUCUUCUUCUCUCUGGUUCGCCUACCCUCGCCGCCACAACACGCAUCGUCCGCCGCCGCUCCCUGAUGACACUGAAAUAGGACAACUUUCCUCAACCCCACUUCUUGUUGAGGACGACAAACCCAGCAAGGAAAAAGUUUCAGGCCCUUCUUCUCGCCUUGCUGCUGCUCCAUCCGAUGUUGCCUCAUCAGUGCUAGGAAUGCCUUACAAAGCAAUUGUAAGUCUAAUAGGUACACUCAUGGAGCAAAAUGCACAGGCCUUCAACCAAAUCUCAAAAAAUAUUGCUUCUCAUAUGUCUUAAUUGGAGCUUGAUCAUUAUUUGUAUCCCGGAUAAAGGUGACGAAUUAGGGUCAAUCAUACUUCAUCUGGAUUCUUUGAGUCUUCACUCUAGCAUAUCACUAUUUGAUAACAUCAAAAGGUUCUUUGUGAUUUAAGACCAAGAGAAUUAUACUAAGAGAAAUCAGCUACUAAGAAUAAGGAUUAGGAUAGUUAGAAGCUCAAUCAUAUGAUAUAUAAACUGAAAUUAUGAAGCUGUAUUGGUUGAGUUUGAUAUAUUAGUUUGAUUUGUGCUUGAUUAUGUUGUGGCGAAUGUUUUAUAUAUAGGAUUCAGAUUGGCGGUUCAAAUUAUUGAUGAACCAAAUUAAGAUGAAUUGAGAUGAACUUUGGCUAAGAAAUUGAUUGUGACUAUGCCUUUAAGCAUUAAAGUUUAUCAGCUGCAUUUUUUCUAUCAAUGCAUUUUAGUUACUAAGAAUAUUAAGCAUUUCUAUUUCAGUUUUUCCAAUGAAUUGAAAUAAUGCCAAA